rnacentral:rRNA from 1 species
CGUGUAGGCGGCUUUGCAAGUCGGGUGUGAAAUCCCUCAGCUCAACUGAGGAAGGGCGCCCGAAACUGCAGAGCUUGAGUACCGGAGAGGAUGGCGGAAUUCCCCCAAGUAGAGGUGAAAUUCGUAGAUAUGGGGAGGAACACCGGUGGCGAAGGCGGCCAUCUGGACGGAUACUGACGCUGAGACGCGAAAGCGUGGGUAGCAAACA